UACGUAGGUGGCAAGCGUUGUCCGGAUUUAUUGGGUUUAAAGGGUGCGUAGGCGGCCUUGUAAGUCAGUGCUGAAAUACCCCGGCUCAACCGGGGGGGUGGCAUUGAUACUGCAGGGCUUGAGUAAAGAUGAGGUAGGCGGAAUUGACGGUGUAGCGGUGAAAUGCAUAGAUAUCGUCAAGAACACCAAUAGCGAAGGCAGCUUACUAAACUUUAACUGACGCUGAUGCACGAAAGUGUGGGGAUCAAACAGG
rnacentral:misc_RNA from 1 species